rnacentral:lncRNA from 1 species
CUCUUGCUCCUAUUUCCUUACUCGGGUUGGUGGUUAGAGUUUCUCCACCUCUCUCUUUCGAAGGAGACCAGAAGAAAUCCAUAAGCCUUUUGUUUGCUGAGACUACUCCCAUAUCUGGCGGGCGUGAUCUCUCUCUCUCUCUCCCUCUCUAACCGCUUAGGGAAGCCUCUCUCCCUAGACACAGCUCAAACUCCCUUCCCAAGCUACGUACCAUAUGGCUGGAAUUGCUUUACCUUAAGGACAGGGAGGGGAGUUGAAGAGGGGGGAAAAAAAAACUCGGGCUGGAGAGCGGAGUUCUCAACAGCCUGGCUACCCCAGGUAUCAACAGCUCCAGCUGGCUCCAACACAGUAGAGAAGGUUCCUGCCCCAGGAACUGAUGGUUCUUAUACAUUUCCUCCUUAAUAUUGCCAUUUAGAUACUCUGGUCUCUUGGAAGCCCUAAACUAUUUGUGUCCUGAACAAAGAAGAAGGAAGAAGAAGAAGAACAACAACAACAACAACAACAACGAGGAGGAGGAGGAAGAGGAGAAGGAAGAAGAGGAAGAGGAGGAGGAGGAGGAGGAGGAUGAGAAGGAGAAGGAGAAAUUGCCCAGGGCAAAAAUAAGAUCCAAAGAUUUAUCUACCAAAUUAGAGCCUGAGCAGAGGUAAUCAUAAAGUUGGAAGUUCUUUGGAAAUCAUCUGGUAUCAUAGAAUAAGGUUCAGACCCUCAUAUGAAACCCUUUCCAAGAAUCUACUGCAAUUUACAGUCAUUAUAACAUACAGUCAUAAUUUAGGAGAGUCAUUUGGGAUAGAUGAGAGGAAAAUUGAAAAGAGAAUAACAGAUUGCUGAAUAAGAGCUUCAAAGAAGCUCCUACUUUAUUUGGCAACUGGACCUUCAAAUGAUCUUUCUGUUCUCUUCUUGGGCAUCAACUCUGCUAAAUCAAUCAUUGCCCCAAUUCCUCCCGAUCCCCCCCCCCCGCAACUCUAUCUUUCUUUCAGCUAAGUUUGUAACAGACAACUUCAUGCAAUGAAUUAAAUAAAUCUUAGCCCCUUACAUCACGAACAUAAAGUCCAAGUUUUGAAAUAUGUAUAUGUAA